rnacentral:rRNA from 1 species
UUGAACGCUGGCGGCAUGCUUUACACAUGCAAGUCGAACGGUAACAGGCCUUCGGGUGCUGACGAGUGGCGAACGGGUGAGUAAUGCAUCGGAACGUACCCAGAGGUGGGGGAUAACGCAGCGAAAGCUGUGCUAAUACCGCAUGUGAUCUGAGGAUGAAAGCGGGGGACCGAGCAGCAAUGUUUGGCCUCGCGCCUUUGGAGCGGCCGAUGUCGGAUUAGCUAGUUGGUGGGGUAAAGGCCUACCAAGGCGACGAUCCGUAGCUGGUCUGAGAGGACGACCAGCCACACUGGGACUGAGACACGGCCCAGACUCCUACGGGAGGCAGCAGUGGGGAAUUUUGGACAAUGGGCGCAAGCCUGAUCCAGCAAUGCCGCGUGCGGGAAGAAGGCCUUCGGGUUGUAAACCGCUUUUGGCAGGAACGAAACGGUGUCCGCUAAUACCGGGCGCUAAUGACGGUACCUGCAGAAUAGGCACCGGCUAACUACGUG